AACGAACGCUGGCGGCAGGCUUAACACAUGCAAGUCGAACGCCCCGCAAGGGGAGUGGCAGACGGGUGAGUAACGCGUGGGAAUCUACCCAGAUCUACGGAACAACAGUUGGAAACGACUGCUAAUACCGUAUACGCCCUACGGGGGAAAGAUUUAUCGGAUUUGGAUGAGCCCGCGUUGGAUUAGCUAGUUGGUGGGGUAAUGGCCUACCAAGGCGACGAUCCAUAGCUGGUCUGAGAGGAUGAUCAGCCACACUGGGACUGAGACACGGCCCAGACUCCUACGGGAGGCAGCAGUGGGGAAUAUUGGACAAUGGGCGCAAACCUGAUCCAGCCAUGCCGCGUGAGUGAUGAAGGCCUUAGGGUUGUAAAGCUCUUUCACCGAUGAAGAUAAUGACGGUAGUCGGAGAAGAAGCCCCGGCUAACUUCGUGCCAGCCGCCGCGGUAAGAC
rnacentral:rRNA from 1 species